GAAGGUGUAUCUAGAAAGACAAAUUAGAGCUUGAAAAGUAAAGCAUUUCAUUUACAUUGAAAAGUAUAUUGUGUGAUUCAAUUUAAUUUGAUAAUAAAAAUUUAUUAAUUUUUUUUUGUUUAAAAGUUUAUUUGAUAAAAUUAAUUUUAAAUUAAGUUUUUUUUUGUAUAGUAUAUAGAUUAAAUAAUUUAUAUAAUAGUUAAUUAGUAUUGUAAAAGAAUAUUGAAAUAUAUGAAAAAGUUUUAAAUUAAAAGUAAAUUUUAUAUAUUGUACCUUGUGUAUCAGGGUUUAUUAAUUAAAAGUUAAUAAAUUUAAUUUUUCUCGAAUUUAAGAGAGUUAAUUUAUUAUUUAAUUUUUUGUCUCAUAAAAAUUUAAAAUAAUAAGUUAGAAAUGAAAUGUUAUUCGUUCUUAAAUAUAUCUAGUUUUUUAAGAAAUAAAUUAAAUUUAGAUUAUUAAUAGAUAAUUAUUUAUUUAAAUAAUGAAUUAUUAUUAAUAAUUAAUAUUUUAAGGGAUAAGCUUUAAAGUAAGUUUUAUAAUAAUUUUUUAAUUUGAAAAUUAUAGGUUUAGAAAUAGUCAUUAAUUAUAAAAAUGUUAUAAUUUAUUUUAAAUUAAAAAUAAUUUUUAUUAAUUUAAGUUUUUAUUAAAAUAAUUUUUAAAAUUAUAUAAAAAUUAAAAUAAUGAUAAAAUUAGUAUAUUUAAUUGUUUUAAAUAAAUGAAUUGAAAGGUUAAAUUAAGGAACUUGGCAAAUAAAUACUCGCCUGUUUAACAAAAACAUGUCUUUUUGAAAAUAAUUUAAAGUCUAAUCUGCCCACUGAAAAAUUUUAAAGGGCCGCGGUAUU
rnacentral:rRNA from 1 species